rnacentral:rRNA from 1 species
UCAGCUCGUGUCGUGAGAUGUUCGGUUAAGUCCGCUAACGAGCGCAACCUCGUCGUAUGUUAUAUGUGUCAUACGAGACUGCCGGUAAAAAGCCGGAGGAAGGUGAGGAUGAUGUCAAGUCAGCAUGACCUUUAUAUCCAGGGCUACACACACGCUACAAUGGUCUGUACAAUGGGUAGCCAAGCCGCGAGGCGGAGCCAAUCCUGAAAGCAGGCCUCAGUUCAGAUUGCAGUCUGCAACUCGACUGCAUGAAGCCGGAGUUGCUAGUAACCGCAGGUCAGCAAUACUGCGGUGAAUACGUUCCCGGGUCUU